rnacentral:rRNA from 1 species
UACAGAGGGGGCAAGCGUUGUUCGGAAUUACUGGGCGUAAAGCGCACGUAGGCGGUCAGGCAAGUCGGGUGUGAAAGCCCUGGGCUCAACCGAGGAACUGCUUUCGAGACGGCCAAGCUAGAGUGCGGAAGGGGCAUCUGGAAUUCCCAGUGUAGCGGUGAAAUGCGUAGAUAUUGGGAAGAACACCUGAGGCGAAGGCGGGAUGCUGGGCCGACACUGACGCUGAGGCGCGAAAGCCAGGGGAGCAAACGGG